rnacentral:lncRNA from 10 species
GGAUAGGCCAGGAGCAGCAAGAAGGCAGUCAGCACCAAGCAGCUGCCAGCCAACACUUUCGCUACACUCCAUCAUUGCUCUGUCCUUGAUGCCUGCUGGAGUCUGCCCUUGGCAUUCGGUCUAUAUAUAAAUUCAAGCAUAUCAGGCCAAGGCCCCAAAGAAAAGAGAAAAAUGAUUUUUUUUUUACAUGGCACAUAGUAAUAAAUAUGAGCAUAGCCAAUGGUCCUGCAUUUGGAUCUCUGCUCUACUCUCACUAGCUGCGUUACCCUGGGCAAGACACUUAACCUCUCUGAGCCUCAUUUUCCACUUGGAAUGACAAUCCAGUGACACAGGGUGCAUGUGCGGCACCUGGCCCAGGCCUGCCCCCGAGUGAGUGCCCAGAGAAGGCACUAUUUUUGUGUGUGUGAUCUUCUGUGUGUGCUGGUUGCCUGCCCCACACAGUACAGAGUGUUCGUCCUUUGCUGUCACUCAAGCAGCUGCCACAACCUCCGUCUUGUGCAAGGAAUUUGUAUUCUCUCCAACUUUGCACAUUGCUCAGGCAUUGUAAAUUCAUUGAUUUCUGUCCUUUCCCCAGAGGACUUCAAACUCAUUUGUAGGACGGUCCUUGUUCCUUGUGUUUGGAAGGGCUGACUGAGUCAUGGGGAUGGAAUCUAUUUCUUUUUAAUAACUUACAUUGCUUCCCCCCUUAGUACAAAAGCAGUAACAUGCUCGGUGUGGUUCACACAAAUAAGCAAAGGAAAACUACUGAUAAUCCUGCCAUGCGGAAAUAAUCACUGUUAAGAUUUUAGUUCUUAUCCUUACAGCAUUUUUUUUUUAGAAAAAAAGAAUACACAUAAUGGUUUUCUACAAAUAUGGGAUCGUACUACACAUGCUAUUAUCACCAUUUAUUCAGAGCUUCAAGAAGCAGAUGCAGGUAUAAAAUGGGCCGGAGAAAGAUGCAGAGGUAGGGAGGGGAGUGUGGUGGGUACCCAUAGUCCCUUCAGUACGAAAGAUUUACCACCUCAGAUGCUGGACGUGCUGUUGGCCUCUUCAGGGAUUGGCCAGGCUGAAGAGAACUGCCCUGCCCUGUCUGCCCACUUCCUAGGCAGCAGCCUCCAGCGAGUGAUCAAAAGAGACUACAGUCUGGGUGCGGUGGCUCACGCCUGUAAUCCCAGCACUUUGGGAGAACAAGGCAGGCAGAUCACUUGAGUCCAGGAAUUCAAGACCAGCCUGGGUAACAUGGUGAAACCCCGUCUCUACCAAAAGAAAAAAAAAAAAACUCAAAAAGAAAAAGAGGCUAUAAAUGGCCCUGGUCACCCAGAUCAGGACAGCUCUGAACGGCCAUGCUUCAGAACUAACCAGGGUCAGCGGAAGCCUUUGUUGAAACUGCAUCUAUGGCCAGAUGCAGUGGCUCACACCUGUAAUCCCAGCACUUUGGGAGGCCGAGGCGGGUGGAUCACAAGAUCAGGAGUUUGAGACCAGCCUGGCCAACAUAGUGAAACCCUGUCUCUACUAAAAAUACCAAAACUAGCCAGACGUGGUGGUGGGAGCCUGUAGUCCCAGCUACUCGGGAGACUAAGGUGGGAAAAUCACCUGAAUCCAGGAGGCAGAGGUUACAGUGAGCCAAGAUCAUGCCAUUGCACUCCAGCCUGGGUGACAGAGCAAGACUCCGUCUCAAAAACAACAACAAAAACAAAAACACAAAGAACACAUCUACAUCUUGGUCUGACUUCUUUUUUUUUUUUGAAAUGGAGUCUCACUCUGUCGCCCAGGCAAGAGGGCAGUGGUGUGAUGUCAGCUCACUGCAGCCUCUGCCUCCCAGGUUCAAGCAAUUCUCCUGUCUCAGUUUCCCAAGUAGCUGGGAUUACAGGUGCCCCCCCCCCCACCACCAUGCCCAGCUAAUUUUUCGUAUUUUUAGUAGAGACGGGGUUUCACCAUUUGGCCAGGCUGGUCUCAAACUCCUGACCUCAGAUGAUCCAUCUGCCUCGGCCUCCCAAAGUGUUGGGAUUACAGGGAUGAGCCACCACGCCCAGCCAGUCUGACUUCUUCUGCUGGUCCUGUUUCUUUUCCUUGGUCUACACUAGCCCCCAGUGGAGUCCACUCCCCAGGGAACCCAGCCUGUGGUUAGGAAGCAUCCUUGUGUCUACCUGGGACAAGCUCAACGUGUGCUUGGUGUACAAACCUAGAAUGUUCUGAGAGCUGGGCCUUCCUUCUUUGGGCCACCAUGACAACACAGAGGUAAAAUGUUUUAAGCCCUGGCAGGCAGCCCUGGGGUGCCAGAAGCUUCUAGGGUACCCUCUGGCUGGGUUAUUUAAGCAGUCAGCUGGGUGGAGAUUUACUAUACAGAGUUUACUUCCCUUGACACCCCUCCUAGAUAACAACACCCUCAGAAACAACAAGAAUUAUGGCUGCCAUUGUGCAGUAUCAUGGGGGUUAUUUAUUUUACAGAUAAAGGAACUGGCUGAGAGAGGGUAAGUAACUUGUCUGAGUUCGCACAGCCGGUGAGUGGUGGGGCUUGAAGUCUAACCCAGGACUGUCCAUUCUAAAAUCAAUGCUCUUGGCUGGCCACGGUGGCUCAUGCAGGUAAUCUCAGCACUUCGGGAGGCUAAGGUGGGUGGAUUGCCUGGGCAACGUGGUGAAACCCCAUCUCUAUUAAAAUACAAAAAAUAAUCUGGGCAUGGUAGCACACACCUGUAAUCCCAGCUACUUGGGAGGCUGAGGCACAAGAAUCAUUUGAACCCGGGAGGCAGAAGUUGCAGUGAGCCGAGACGGUGCCACUGCACUCCAGCCUAGGAGACUGAGUGAGACCCUGUCUCAAAAAAAAAAAAAAAAAAAAAAAAAGAUAAAAGAAACAAAGCGCAUGUAACGUUACUCUUCAAACCAGAGUCACUCUCCAUAAAUUAUCAGUUUGAUUUUCUUCAUAGCCCUAACCUGAGCUGAAAUUCUUUUUUUUUUUACUUUUUGUAGAGACAGGGUCUCAUGUUGCCCAGGCUAGUCUCAAACUCCUAGGCUCAAGCGAUCCUCCCGCCUUGGCCUCCCAAAGUGUUGGGAUUACAGGCAUGAGCCACUGCGCCCAGCUUAAGAGAUAUUUUUGAGCACAAGAGAGAAGCUAGGGAAAUGACAUUAACUCCAGUACUCUUAGGAGAGUGGUCCUGCUUGCUCAGAGUUAUGUGGGAUCAGAGACUUUCUGGAACUCACUUUCCAAGGUACCCAAGUAUUUAACUUUUCCUAACACCUGUGCUGGGGAGCAAGUGGGAAGCCCUUGAGGCUUUCUGACUUUAAAGACUGU